UGGUGCAAAAGUGAUUGUGUUUUUUGUAAUUACUUUUAAUGGCAAAACCACACUUGCUUUUGCACCAACCUAAUAACAUUACACUUAAUACUUAACUA
ensembl:miRNA